rnacentral:rRNA from 1 species
GACGAACGCUGGCGGCGUGCUUAACACAUGCAAGUCGAACGGAAAGGCCCUGCUUGCAGGGUACUCGAGUGGCGAACGGGUGAGUAACACGUGGGUGAUCUGCCCUGCACUUCGGGAUAAGCCUGGGAAACUGGGUCUAAUACCGGAUAGGAGCCAUUUUUAGUGUGAUGGUUGGAAAGUUUUUUCGGUGUAGGAUGAGCUCGCGGCCUAUCAGCUUGUUGGUGGGGUAAUGGCCUACCAAGGCGGCGACGGGUAGCCGGCCUGAGAGGGUGGACGGCCACAUUGGGACUGAGAUACGGCCCAGACUCCUACGGGAGGCAGCAGGGGGGAAGAUUGCACAAUGGGCGCAAGCCUGAUGCAGCGACGCCGCGUGGGGGAGGACGGCCUUCGGGUUGUAAACUCCUUUCGCUAGGGACGAAGCUUUUUGUGACGGUACCUAGAGAAGAAGCACCGGCUAACUACGUG